rnacentral:snRNA from 1 species
AUCGCUUCUCGGCUCACCGAGCUUAGAUUAAGUGUAGUAUCUGUUCUUGUCAGGUUAGGUACCCUGUGACGGAAACGAUUCGUU